GUAGGUGGCAAGCGUUGUCCGGAAUUAUUGGGCGUAAAGCGCGCGCAGGCGGUUCUUUAAGUCUGAUGUGAAAGCCCACGGCUCAACCGUGGAGGGUCAUUGGAAACUGGGGGACUUGAGUACAGAAGAGGAAAGCGGAAUUCCAAGUGUAGCGGUGAAAUGCGUAGAGAUUUGGAGGAACACCAGUGGCGAAGGCGGCUUUCUGGUCUGUAACUGACGCUGAGGCGCGAAAGCGUGGGGAGCAAACAGGGAUUAGAUACCCUGGUAGUCCACGCCGUAAACGAUGAGUGCUAAGUGUUAGGGGGGUUUCCGCCCCCUUAGUGCUGCAGCUAACGCAUUAAGCACUCCGCCUGGGGAUACGGCCGCAAGGCUG
rnacentral:rRNA from 1 species